UACGGAGGAUGCGAGCGUUAUCCGGAUUUAUUGGGUUUAAAGGGUGCGCAGGCGGGAGAUUAAGUCGGCGGUGAAAUUUUGCAGCUCAACUGUAAAAGUGCCUUCGAAACUGGUUUCCUUGAGUGUAGAUGAAGUAGGCGGAAUUUGUGGUGUAGCGGUGAAAAUGCAUAGAUAUCACGAGGAACUCCGAUUGCGCAGGCAGCUUACUAAACUACCACUGACGCUCAGGCACGAAGGCGUGGGGAUCAAACAGGAUUAGAUACCCCCAGUA
rnacentral:rRNA from 1 species